rnacentral:misc_RNA from 1 species
UCUCGGCUUAUCACCGGCAGUCCCCCUAGAGUGCCCAACUUAAUGGUGGCAACUAAGGACAGGGGUUGCGCUCGUUGCGGCACUUAAGCCAACACCUCACGGCACGAGCUGACGACAGCCAUGCAGCACCUGUGCUAGCCCCCGAAGGACACGGGCUUUCACCCGCUUUAACUAGCAUGUCAAGCCCAGGUAAGGUUCUUCGCGUUGCAUCGAAUUAAGCCACAUGCUCCGCCGCUUGUGCAGGCCCCCGUCAAUUCCUUUGAGUUUUAAUCUUGCGACCGUACUCCCCAGGCGGGAAGCUUAAUGCGUUAGCUGCGCCACCGACAAGUAAACUUGCCAACGGCUAGCUUCCAUCGUUUACGGCGUGGACUAC